rnacentral:lncRNA from 1 species
UAAGAAACAUGUAAUAUUCCGAAAUAUACAACAAUGCAUGAUAAUACCAAAUCCCAGGUGCAGGUGAGGAGAAGGAUUUCCAUUUUCCAUUUUUUUACAUUCUUCUGACAUUUAGUUCAGUUUUGGGACUGUCCUUAAAAGUAGCAGGAACUUAAUUUUGAGGCCAUGCUGAUCUUUGAAGGUGUUUGCGCGCCUUCAAGUAAGUUCCUGUACUGCUGUCUAGUUCUGAGCAUGCUCCUUUCCCUGGAGGCUGGCAUGUGCUUUUUUGUGUGUGUGGGGUGGUUGUUUUUUUUGACCUAGUGCUGACUUCAGAGAGGCUCAGAAAAUAGUUUCAUUGCUUCCUGAAUCUCUCAGAGGCUCACUGUGAAGUCUGGGACAGUUCUUGUCUAUUUCUGGGCUCUUCGAGACGGGCAGAAGCUCUUGCCAGAAUGGUGUGUUUUUUUUAAUGGCCUUACCAGUGCUAAGCUGCCCAGAGCAUUUAUGCACUCUAGGCUAACUACUUAUUACACUAAGAAAUAUCACUUAUUUGUGCUUAGAUAAAAUUUGAUAUUCCUAUAUAGUUGCCUUGAAUUUGUUUGAGGGAGGGAAGAAGACACAAAUGUAAUAAAUAAUUUGCUAAUUGGUAACCUGAACACUAGUUUUCUGGGGUGUGUGUGGAUUUUAUCUUUCUUUAAUAGAUUGGCAUUUAAAUAUUACCAGGCAUCAUUUUGGAAAGUCCUACACACCACCAAUACCUAUAACCUGAACAAAUAUUGAUCAGUUUUAUACAGUCGUGCCUUGGUUCUUGAACGUAAUCCGUUCUGGAAGUCCGUUUGACUCCCGAAACAUUUGAAAACCAAGGAACGUCUUCUGGUUGGCUGCAGGAGCUUCCUGCACUCAAGCGGAAGCAGCGUUGGACAUUUGGCUUCUGAAAAACAUUCGAAAACCGGAACACUCACUUCUGGGUUUUCAGCGUUUGGGAACCGAAACGUAUGAGUACCAAGGCAUUCGAGAACCAAGGUACGACUGUAUUUUGAAAGUUUCUACAAAUAUUGGUCAAUGGAACAUGUACUCAAAACAGUAUAUAGCCCCAGGUAAAAAACAAAAACAAAACACCAUUCUAAGCAUGCUGUGAAUGGAAUGGGGGUGGGGAGUGUAUUUCACAAGGGACUUUUCAGAAAAGUGGGGAAACCCGUGUGCCAUCUACGUUUCUGUUGCUUCAUGUGAAUUUUACACUGUAGUUUGUAAUACCAGUAAUUUGUGUGAGGAAAGGACGUAAUCACUUGUGCAAGGGAACUAUUCUAGUUCACACCAGUAAUAUAUAUAUAUAUUGUCUGGUGUCAGGUUGUUUCCAGGAGGCUCAUACUGUAGAAUAUUUUAUUUGAAGUGAAUGCAGGGGAAGAAAUUUAAAAUCAUUGAUACUUGAAAAACUCAUACAAAUUUCUGCCUGUUUGUUAUGAUAUACAUUUGGAUGAAAAUAGUUGCAAAAUACAAAUUUAGUACUAAAAAUGUAGAAGAUAGCCAUGCUAGAUUGCUUUAUAGUAUAUAGCAAGGAAUCUGAAGCUGGCUAAGAAAGCUUCUAGUAUAUCCAAUUUAGUAUGCCUGUACUAUUUGCAGAGCUUUGCGUGUAAGAUGUGAAUGAACUUCAUAGCCAGAUUCAACAUAGGCCACAAGAGAGACAUCCAUCACUGUGACUAGAACCAGCUGAAAGCACAAUCUCAGACUGUUGCCUGAUAAUGGAUUUCUUCAAACCAAGGACCUGAAAGCAGUUUAGUUCAGAAACAUCCAGGAAAUAAUUUCUGAAGAUAGGAAAAAGGCCUAUUUGCAGUUGAUGGUGAAUUUCCAUCUUAUACUAGCAUGUAAAAAAAUAUGUGGAUAAAAGAUGUUUGCUAAUCAUUUCCUAAAAUGUGUUCACUCUAAAAUGCUUUUGUUUCUGUCAACAAGUGGAGCAUAUAUAUUGUUACUAACUUCAGCCAAAAGAAGUUGAAUGUUUCACAGUGGUUAGUACUAGCCAUGGUCUGUUGUCUGAACCAUGGUUAAGGUGACAGAUGUACAAUGAAACCAUGUUUUACAUACUUACUGCACACCUAAUUCCACAUCCUGAUUUGCAAACUAAUCCCCUAAUCUUCAUUUAGGUGAUGUAAUACUUAGCCAUGUGUCAGGGGACUGCCAUCGGAACAGGGAAGGGAGGCAGAGGGGCCGUUGGGAUACAGGGAACCUCCGAAAAUCUUGUGAAGCAGUUCCUCUUCCUGUGGUGGAGAAAGCCACACCUCCAGUGGGGAAGAGGGGAAGGGACCAGAGGAUGCUGCUGGGAGCCCCAGCGCCGCACCUUGUCAGUCUGAGGGUGGGGAAAGCCACACCUCCAGGGUAAAGGAGGGGAAAGGGCUAGAGGAUGUUGCUAGGAGCCUCAGCACUGCUCCUUGUCAGGCUGGCCAGGAGGGAAACAUGCCUCUUCCUUCCCCCACCUUGCGCAGAGGGUUAAAACGCAAAGAAGGAAGGAAACGGCUGGGGGUGACUAAGUUCUUAUGUUGGGGGAGGACCUGGAAGGGACCACUCCCGGAUUCUGCUAGCGAUUGAGGCAGACAUGAACUUGUGGUUCUGCACUGUAAAUAGUUUUGCACCAAAUAAAACCUGUAAAAGACAGGUCGGAGUCCUGCCUGGUUACUCACGAGCAACCACCACUGCCAUCUGACACAAUGGUUAAAGAAAAUAAACCAUAGAUAACAUGUGUGCACAAAACCUUAAUUUAUUGUAUAGCCAUUUUAUAUUGCAAAUCAGCUGUUCAGAUUCCAGAUGAAUAGGAAACUGCAAAAUCAUAAGUCUUCUACUGAAAUCUAAAGAAUAACAUAGGGAAGCUAGCUAUGCCAUUUUAAACAGUUCAGCUAUAGCAAGGAUUAAGAAAAUUGGGAAUUCAAGUUCUCACAUAAGCAGGCCUUAGGAAUCCUGUAUUAAUGGAGUUGUGAGCUAAUCGUUGAUUUUCACAUGUCCUUCUUAUGUAUGAAUAUUUUUGGGAUCAAGAAGUAAACGGUCUACCAACUAUUAUAAGUUUGAUGGAUGUGUCCAUGUGUGCAACUUGUGAUUAACAGCAUAGCAGGUCAGUUUAGCAGCUGCCUCUUUUCUUAUUUAUAUUAAGCUCCUUAUUUGUGGCUUUAAAACACUUCUAAAUCCUCAUCCACCCCCAUCCUUUUCACAACCCUUGGAUAAAACUCAGUACCAGCAACUGAGUGGAUCAUUUCUCAUAGCUAAAUCUAGGAAGCAUCAACUCAAGUUGUUCUUGACUUCAGGGGGAUUUGUUUUGACAGAAUUUGAGAAUACUGUACCUGCAUAGUGUUUGCUUGCUCACUGUAGCCCUCUUGAAAAUGAUUGAGGAAGUAGAACAUGGAUCUUAACAUGAAGUAUAUAAUUGUUUCCUGUUCCUAUUUUAUCUGUAAGCUGCCUUGAGUCCUGUGUCUGGGAACAAAUGCUGAGGAAGAAGUUUGUGUAGCUGAACAUUAUUAUGUCAGUUGCACACUGGUUUAUAGGUCAAUAAAUAUACUUGUUGCUACAUAAACUGAGUUUGGAAUGUAUCUGUAAUUCUAGAAAUGACUGGUCACUUAAUUUUGUUUAGGGAAAAAUAUUCCAAUAGGGUGGUUGUGGAAGAUGCUGGGUUAAUAACUGUGUGUGGGUGUGCAUGUAUGUAUGUAUAGAUGAUAGACAGAUAUGCUAUCUAUCUAUCUAUCUAUCUAUCUAUACCCAAAGAAGGUACAAAUAUACCCUGAUGAAACAUCAGUGAUUGCUUAUUUCCUGAGUAAGUUCACCUUUCUGUGACAGCACAUAAGGCUAUUUCUAAUUCUUCAUUCCCCCCUUCUCUUGUACUUCCAUGGAAACUUCUGAUGAUGGAAUUAGUACAUGCUGUGGUUUUGUGAUUGGCUCUUAGGUAACCGAUGGGGGGAAAUUGUGUGAAACACAAUUCAAAAGACUUCCUGGUAGUUGAUUGAUUAAAGGACUUUGUAGUUGGUGAACUAAAUAGGCAAAUUUUCAUAUUAAAUAUAUAUUUGCACGGC